rnacentral:lncRNA from 1 species
GUGAUCCACCCAUCUUGGCCUCCAAAUUGUCACUUUCUAAUUCAUAUUUUCUGUAGAAGGCUGUAAGUCCCUUGAGGACAUGGUCAGUGAAAUCAGUGAUUAAUAUUUGUAGCCCUCUGGGGUGUAGUGCCUUACCCUAGCACUGUCUGUUUGAUGAAAGAAUAUAAUUUACUUACAACCAAUGUAAGCACACUUGGGAAGUUUGAACUGAUUCUUUUAGAGAAAGUCAUUUGUUACAUUUCUUUUUUUUUUUUUUUUUUUUGACGGAGUCUUGCUCUGUUGCCCAGGCUGGAGUGCAAUGGUGAGAUCUCUGCUCACUGCAAGCUCCGCCUCCUGGAUUCACACCAUUCUCCUGCCUCAGCCUCCUGAGUAGUUGGGACUAUAGGUGCCUGCCACCAUGCCCAGCUAAUUUUUUUGUAUUUUUAGUAGAGAUGGGGUUUCACCGUGUUAGCCAGGAUAGUCUCAAUCUCCUGACCAUCUGUUUGUUGGUACCACUCUGUUUAUUUCUGUAUGUAAUUCAAGGUGGAAAUUUGCCAAUACGUAGUUAUUUGCACAAUUUAACUCAGCAGGAUUAUUACACAGCUACAGCUAUUUCUUUAUUUAUAUUUUUGGAAAAGGGAUAGAAUCUUCACUUUGUUGUAUCUUCACUUUGUUUCUCUUUGGACCCUACCCGUGAGACACUAAUAAAUUAUAAUCCAUGUUACUGCUUAUUCUUUCCGUGUAAAGUACUUUUCAAGUUGAUCAUAAGCUGAGGUAGGUUGAUCAUAAUAUCAAAAUGUUAUUUUUAUGAAAACUCAUAGAAUCAACUUUGGAAGCCCAGUAUGCUUACGAUGGCUGAUUGACAACACCUAUGAAGAGCAAGGUAUUGGAGAACUAGUUUGGCAAGUGUUGAUGACCCUUUAUCAUUUCUCUUUUAGAAAAGCAACAAAAUAUUUCUCCCCUAGUGAGAGAAAGAGGUCCUCAGAGAGUAGCAGCUCACAUAACUGGGACCAGAGGAAGAAGCAACACAUUGUCUUCUCCAAACUCCAAGAAUGAAAAGGCUCUGGGCCGCAAAAUAAACUCCUGGGAAUCAUCAAGGAGUGGGCAUUCAUUCCUGAGCAACUUGCACUUGAGGAAUGGUGAACUGGUCAUCCAUGAAAAAGGGUUUUACUACAUCUAUUCCCAAACAUACUUUCGAUUUCAGGAGGAAAUAAAAGAAAACACAAAGAACGACAAACAAAUGGUCCAAUAUAUUUACAAAUACACAAGUUAUCCUGACCCUAUAUUGUUGAUGAAAAGUGCUAGAAAUAGUUGUUGGUCUAAAGAUGCAGAAUAUGGACUCUAUUCCAUCUAUCAAGGGGGAAUAUUUGAGCUUAAGGAAAAUGACAGAAUUUUUGUUUCUGUAACAAAUGAGCACUUGAUAGACAUGGACCAUGAAGCCAGUUUUUUUGGGGCCUUUUUAGUUGGCUAACUGACCUGGAAAGAAAAAGCAAUAACCUCAAAGUGACUAUUCAGUUUUCAGGAUGAUACACUAUGAAGAUGUUUCAAAAAAUCUGACCAAAACAAACAAACAGAAAACAGAAAACAAA